GGUGCCAUAGUCAAGCGGUAAGACAGAGGUCUGCAAAAUCUCGAUCCUCCGGUUCAAAUCCGGAUGGCACCUCCA
rnacentral:tRNA from 1 species